CUCGUACUGCUGCGGCAACCGGCCGCGCUCCCGCCCCUUCUCGGUGCUCCCCGGCCGACGGCACAGCGGGUUUCUGCCCGUUGGUGCCGCCUCGUGUCUCGACAGCGGUCUGUGCAGCCUCCGUGCGUUCGGGACUAUGUGGUUGAGGUUCCUCCCCAAAGCAGGCUUGUGUGUGUGCCCUCGCUGAUGUAGAUGUAGAUGGCCUGGAGGUGUGGGGAGGCAGGCCGGCCCACGAGCAGGAUUUUUGCAUGGUGUCCCAGGGAGGAUAGCUCCUGUGUACCUCGUGUGCCCAAGGUUGUCGUUUUAUUUCCCCACCUGCCAGUGAAAGUCUCUUCCAAUCUUCUUCAGUGGUCUCUUUCUCCCUCUGACUGGUUCAUGUCUACAUCCCAGGAUGGUUGCCAGAUGGUUGCUAUGUUCCUGCUCUACGGUACCCUAUCUUAUCCGAAGGUCAGCCGUUAUCUCUGUUCAUUCUGGUCUGUAUCCUUGAGGGCUGGUUCUAGCUGAUGUUGCAGUGGCGUCGUCAGCAACGUUCUUUGGGUUACAGUUCAGUCCUGCGGCCUGCAGGUUUCACCUACUUUAGACACUUAGGCUAAGCAAGAAUCAGACUUCUGCUCUGCUGAGGCAAAGUUGGCUACAAUUCCCUUCUCUAACACCCAGGAUCGAUAUACAGGUACUGUAAACUGGGGAAAUAAGAAGCUGACAGAAGAAAGGUUAAAACUGUAAAGCUUUAAUAAAGGAAAUAAAGGAUCCUUCCCAUCAAUCCUGAGUGAGAGGGUUGCAGUUCUUAUAGCAGUGUAUCCAUCACUUUUCUGGUAACAGCAGACCGCAAUGGGAGUUACUGGAAAGGAGUCAGGAGCAGAGCUGGAACAAGGGCUGUUUUCCCCAACCAGACACAAGCGGCUGUAAGCACGCUUGCCAUAAACCAAUGAGGACGAGGCCCACCCCGGGUGAGGACCUUGCCCUGGGCCUUGACUGCAGCCACCCGGUGCACCCCGCCGCCCGAGGACUGCUCCGCCUGCUCGCCGGGGCACCCC